rnacentral:antisense_RNA from 1 species
CUUCACCGAACCCAGCCACAGCGGCCGGUCCGCCGGGCGUGCGCCUCCGUAGGCGGAGAUGACGGACUGCGCUUC